rnacentral:rRNA from 1 species
UAAACGAUGCUGACUCGUUUUUGGUUUUUAGGGAUCAGAGACUAAGCGAAAGUGAUAAGUCAGCCACCUGGGGAGUACGACCGCAAGGUUGAAACUCAAAGGAAUUGACGGGGGCCCGCACAAGCGGUGGAUUAUGUGGUUUAAUUCGAUGAUACGCGAGGAACCUUACCAAGACUUAAAUGGGAAUUGACAGCUGUAGAAAUACGGUUUUCUUCGGACAAUUUUCAAGGUGCUGCAUGGCUGUCGUCAG